CCUACGGGUGGCAGCAGUGAGGAAUAUUGGUCAAUGGUCGCGAGCCUGAACCAGCCAAGUAGCGUGAAGGAUGACUGUCCUACGGGUUGUAAACUUCUUUUGUAAAGGAAUAAAGUGAGGCACGUGUCCCUGUUUGUGUGUACUUUAUGAAUAAGGAUCGGCUAACUCCGUGCCAGCAGCCGCGGUAAUACGGAGGAUCCGAGCGUUAUCCGGAUUUAUUGGGUUUAAAGGGAGCGUAGAUGGGUUGUUAAGUCAGUUGUUAAAGUUUGUGGCUCAACCGUAAAAUUGCAAUUGAUACUGGCAGUCUCGAGUACAGGUGAGGUAGGCGGAAUGCGUGGUGGAGCGGUGAAAUGCAGAGAUAUCACGAAGAACUCCGAUUGCGAAGGCAGCUUACUAACCUGCCACUGACAUUGAUGCUCGAAAGUGUGGGUAUCAAACAGGAUUAGAUACCCUAGUAGUC
rnacentral:rRNA from 1 species